CCUACGGGAGGCAGCAGUGGGGAAUUUUGGACAAUGGGCGAAAGCCUGAUCCAGCAAUGCCGCGUGAGUGGAGAAGGCCUUCGGGUUGUAAAGCUCUUUUGUCAGGGAAGAAACGGUGAGGGCUAAUAUCUCUUGCUAAUGACGGUACCUGAAGAAUAAGCACCGGCUAACUACGUGCCAGCAGCCGCGGUAAUACGUAGGGUGCAAGCGUUAAUCGGAAUUACUGGGCGUAAAGCGUGCGCAGGCGGUUUUGUAAGUCUGUCGUGAAAUCCCCGGGCUCAACCUGGGAAUUGCGAUGGAGACUGCAAGGCUAGAAUCUGGCAGAGGGGGGUAGAAUUCCACGUGUAGCAGUGAAAUGCGUAGAGAUGUGGAGGAACACCGAUGGCGAAGGCAGCCCCCUGGGUCAAGAUUGACGCUCAUGCACGAAAGCGUGGGGAGCAAACAGGAUUAGAUACCCUGGUAGUCCACGCCCUAAACGAUGUCUACUAGUGUCGGUUUUAAUUACGUUGGUAACGCAGCUACGCGUGAGUAGACGCCGNGGAGGACGGUCGUCGAGAGUUAAACGUUACGUAAGAAGUUAGAGGNGNGAGAGNGCGACGGACGACGACGAGGAGGAGG
rnacentral:rRNA from 1 species